GGAGACCAAGACAAUCGCCAAGUUGUCGAAGAUGUGAACCCAAACCUGUUCUUUGCCAGUCAGGUCAUCAACAAUGCAUGUGCAACACAAGCAAUCCUUUCCAUCCUGAUGAACUGCCCGGAAGUCGACAUCGGCCCGGAACUCUCCGCACUGAAGGAUUUCACCAAGAGCUUCCCCCCAGAGCUCAAGGGUCUUGCUAUCAAUA
rnacentral:misc_RNA from 1 species